GCAUUAUACCGCGAAACUGCGAAUGGCUCAUUAUAUAAGUUAUCGUUUAUUUGAUAGCACGUUACUACUUGGAUAACCGUGGUAAUUCUAGAGCUAAUACAUGCUAAAAACCCCGACUUCGGAAGGGGUGUAUUUAUUAGAUUAAAAGCCAACGCCCUUCGGGGCUCUGUGGUGAUUCAUGAUAACUUUUCGAAUCGCAUGGCCUUGCGCCGGCGAUGGUUCAUUCAAAUUUCUUCCCUAUCAACUUUCGAUGCGAGGGUCUUGUCCUCGCAUGGUUGCAACGGGUAACGGAGGGUUAGGGCUCGACCCCGGAGAAGGAGCCUGAGAAACGGCUACUACAUCCAAGGAAGGCAGCAGGCGCGCAAAUUACCCAAUCCCGACACGGGGAGGUAGUGACAAUAAAUACUGAUACAGGGCUCUUUAGGGUCUUGUAAUCGGAAUGAGUACAAUUUAAAUCCCUUAACGAGGAACAAUUGGAGGGCAAGUCUGGUGCCAGCAGCCGCGGUAAUUCCAGCUCCAAUAGCGUAUAUUAAAGUUGUUGUGGUUAAAAAGCUCGUAGUCGAACCUUGGGCCUGGCCGGCCGGUCCCCCUCACCGGGUGCACUGAUCCGGCCGGGCCUUUCCCUCUGUGGAACCCCAUGGCCUUCACUGGCUGUGCGGGGGAAACAGGACUUUUACUGUGAAAAAAUUAGAGUGCUCCAGGCAGGCCUAUGCUCGAAUACAUUAGCAUGGAAUAAUAGAAUAGGACGCGUGGUUCUAUUUUGUUGGUUUCUAGGACCGCCGUAAUGAUUAAUAGGGACAGUCGGGGGCAUCAGUAUUCAAUUGUCAGAGGUGAAAUUCUUGGAUCUAUUGAAGACUAACUACUGCGAAAGCAUUUGCCAAGGAUGUUUUCAUUGAUAAGGAACGAAAGUUAGGGGAUCGAAGACGAUCAGAUACCGUCGUAGUCUUAACUAUAAACUAUGCCGACUAGGGAUCGGACGAUGUUAUUUCUUGACGCGUUCGGCACCUUUCGAGAAAUCAAAGUGCUUGGGCUCCAGGGG
rnacentral:rRNA from 1 species